CUGACACCAGGUGAGAGGGCUGUGUCUACCAAGAGCUGAUAUUCUAAGUGUGCUGCUCAAGCUCAGUAAAUCACCUGCGCUCCAGGUGGCAACCAGGAGGGAGCGGGUCAGGAAACAGAGAUCAGAGCUGAGAUAUGGGAGAAGGUCAAGAAAGGGAUGAAACGGGAACCAUUUGUCUAAUGGUGACAUCCUAUCUGUGUAAAUCUACUCUAAUAGAGAUUCUGUGUCCUGCACAGCAGCUGCAAGUGAGGUGAGUAUGUCAUGGUUUACUCUCACCCUCCUGGACCUUUUCCUGGAGCAAUACUGGUGCAUGAAGUGGGGAUAUGAUGGGGACUGUUCCCUGUAUCCUUUAAGGGGGCCCUGACAUCUGCCAACCCCUGGGUUGUUUGUUUUGUUUGCUUUCUUGGCUCAGGGUGGGGACCCAUUUCAGCAGCUUCCACCUGGCCCCUGCUGCUAUGACAGCUCUUACCCCACAGGCCAAGAACGCAGUGGCAGUGGGUGCCACCUACCACAUGAGUUCAUUCCAAUUAUACAUUCAGACAAAGGGGGAAAGACCGUCAUGUGGACCCAAGGCUCCAAUCUUGAUCCCAGGAUGCUGUGCUCUAUCUUCCAUAUCCAUCGUUCCCUACUGACCACCAGGGCUGGGACUAGGGUAAGGCAAGAAAGGGGCCCAGGGUACAAACCAUAAGGAGGAACUCCCUCCCAGGGCCAUGGGGACAGAGUCAGGCCCUGAGGUGAGAGCCUCCUUACAUUUUGCACCCUGAGCUCCUCUCUUGCCUUGGUCUAGUCCUGGCCCUAGUGCUGGGUAGAGUUCCAUGCUCCUUUGCCUCCCUGACCUAGGGUCCAGCACCCACCAUGCUUCUGUUAGCUGUGGGCUACCACCUAGACUGUUAUUUCAGGAUCCUACCAUGAGAGCAUCUCUGCCCAUCAGCCGCAGCCCAGAGAGAACACCGUGGGAGGUGCACCCUGACUGUAGAGUGCCACUCCUGCAGUUUGGACCUCAUUGCUUUGCCGACCUGAGGCCCAUGCAAGCCCUUCCAUGCGGCAGAGCCUCUUGACGGCUCCUCCCAACUCCCUUAGUCAUGAACUCCCCCUCCCCCUCCAUCUCCAAGGCAGUGCUGGCUUCUCUAUUUUGCUCAGUGUGGGCAUCACUUUCUCUCUGCUUUUAGGAGGCAUCCCUGCAGCAUUUUAGCAGCGUCUCCCAGGGAGUUUGCUAUGGUAUUAAAUCCUGCCUCCCAGGGGCGGGCACCGAUAUUGAUACUUUCCCUUAUACUACUUUAUGUUCUGUCUCCUUGCCUAAGCAGCCUGAGGUCCACUCUCAGGCACAUACCCAGGCUCCUCUCAGCAUGGACCCUCUACAAACACCUGGCAGCUCCCCCACCUUGUCAGACAGCGGCAGCCCCAUGCUGGCCAGGGUUAGGGGAUGUUGUCAGCUCCAGUGGCCUGGGCUGGUUGAGUAGCUCUUUCUUUUUCUGGGGAUCAGUACUCUGAAGUCCCCCAGGUGCCCACAGAAAGAAGUCACCUUCUCUAGUGUCAGCCUUGGCAGUUGUAAGGCCAUGCUGUGGCUCUUCAUCUGCUGUCUAUUUCUGUUUUAUUUUCAUUUGGUUCAAAACAGGGCAUGGAGAAGAAUUCGCCACCCUACAACAGUCUGCUUUUAUCAUGCAACUUGCUAAUAAUACCUACCCUUCCGGGUGGUUAUGAGGGUGAUGAUAUGGAUUGUGUAAAGUGUCAAUAUAUAAUAGAUGACAUGACAGGUACAUUUUAGACCACUCUCACCCCAGCACCAAAUUAAACAUGAGAGUGGAACUACCUGGGCCCCCCAGGGCCUACCAAAAGCCUAGAACUGAUCAGCUACUAGCACCAGAAUGGGGUGAACCAGGACCCAAACCUAGAAGCAAACUUGCCCUCUGGAGGAACCAGGUCUAAGGAGACACAAGCCUUGACAUAAAGGAACAGAGUGGGGGUCUUCUGGUCUGGCCAGCAGAGUCUGCACUCUUAUUAGCUUUUUAUUUUAUUUCAUUUCAUUUCAUUUCAUUUCAUUUCAUUUCAUUUCAUUUCAUUUCAUUUUAUUUUAUUUUAUUUUAUUCUAUUCUACCUAAUAAACUACCUCAA
rnacentral:lncRNA from 10 species